rnacentral:rRNA from 2 species
CAGGACGAACGCUGGCGGCGUGCCUAAUACAUGCAAGUCGAACGCGUCUUGGUUAUUGAUGUUAAGUGCUUGCAUUUAACUGAUUUAACAUUGAGACGAGUGGCGAACUGGUGAGUAACACGUGGGUAACCUGCCCUUGAAGUAGGGGAUAACACUUGGAAACAGGUGCUAAUACCGUAUAACAACCAAAACCACCUGGUUUUGGUUUAAAAGAUGGCUUCGGCUAUCACUUUAGGAUGGACCCGCGGCGUAUUAGCUUGUUGGUAAGGUAACGGCCUACCAAGGCAAUGAUACGUAGCCGACCUGAGAGGGUAAUCGGCCACAUUGGGACUGAGACACGGCCCAAACUCCUACGGGAGGCAGCAGUAGGGAAUCUUCCACAAUGGACGAAAGUCUGAUGGAGCAACGCCGCGUGAGUGAUGAAGGGUUUCGGCUCGUAAAACUCUGUUGUUGGAGAAGAACAGGUGUGAGAGUAACUGUUCACAUCUUGACGGUAUCCAACCAGAAAGCCACGGCUAACUACGUGCCAGCAGCCGCGGUAAUACGUAGGUGGCAAGCGUUGUCCGGAUUUAUUGGGCGUAAAGCGAGCGCAGGCGGUUUCUUAGGUCUGAUGUGAAAGCCUUCGGCUUAACCGGAGAAGUGCAUCGGAAACCAGGAGACUUGAGUGCAGAAGAGGACAGUGGAACUCCAUGUGUAGCGGUGAAAUGCGUAGAUAUAUGGAAGAACACCAGUGGCGAAGGCGGCUGUCUGGUC